UGUCCAGACUCCUACGGGAGGCAGCAGUGAGGAAUAUUGGUCAAUGGGCGGAAGCCUGAACCAGCCAAGUCGCGUGAGGGAAUAAGGCCCUACGGGUCGUAAACCUCUUUUGCCGGGGAGCAAGGGCGGGGACGUGUCCCGGCCCGGAGAGUACCCGGAGAAAAAGCAUCGGCUAACUCCGUGCCAGCAGCCGCGGUAAUACGGAGGAUGCGAGCGUUAUCCGGAUUUAUUGGGUUUAAAGGGUGCGUAGGCUGUGAGGUAAGUCAGCGGUGAAAUGCCCCCGCUCAACGGGGUGAAGUGCCAUUGAUACUGCCUUGCUGGAAUGCGGAUGCCGUGGGAGGAAUGUGUGGUGUAGCGGUGAAAUGCAUAGAUAUCACACAGAACACCGAUUGCGAAGGCAGCUUACUAAACUGUGACUGACAUUGAUGCUCGAAAGUGUGGGUAUCAAACAGGAUUAGAUACCCGUGUACU
rnacentral:rRNA from 1 species